UACGGAGGAGGCAAGCGUUAUCCGGAAUUAUUGGGCGUAAAGCGUCCGCAGGUGGCGAUUCAAGUCUGCGGUUAAAGACUGGGGCUUAACCCUGGAAAGGCCGUGGAAACUGAAACGCUAGAGUGCAGAAGGGGCAAUCGGAAUUCUUGGUGUAGCGGUGAAAUGCGUAGAUAUCAAGAGGAACACCUGAGGUGAAGACGGGUUGCUGGGCUGACACUGACGCUGAGGCGCGAAAGCCAGGGGAGCAAACGGG
rnacentral:rRNA from 1 species